AAACGACUAGAAAUGCAAUCACGCUCGACCAAACUACUAGGCUCAUCGGACCCGUGCUGAAGCAGUUGAGUGGCACAAAGCCAAAAUUCUGCGAGGAAAACAUCACUAGGACGAGGAGAAUUUCGCCCAACUUAAUUCUAUAAAAGCAUAAUUCCGUGAAAGCCAAGACGAUCGAGGUGGAUAUCGCUGUCACACGGAGGAUAAAUGAAGCCGGAAACUCGUUCUCCUUCUACCGAUGCUCCUUCGAAAGAAGAUUUGCCACUUUUGAUGUCCGACUGCGAAUCGUUAGAGAAAAUUUGUGACUACGAAGAGCUCUAUCAUCACAAAGCAGAAGUUGAAGAACAGAACGUUUACAACCUGGAGAAAAAACCACCGACUACGACGAGCAGAACUAAACCCAUAACCAAAAUCUUCAAAGACAGAGCGUACUCGCCUUGUUUGGCAGACAUAAAAGAAGUGGAGGAGAGAUGUAAAGACGACUUUAAGUCACCGUAUUAUCUCCCGCUAUCACAAGUACAUUUUGAUCGAGCUUUAUACGGCGGUUAUCUCGAGAAAGACAGGGGAAGAAAGUUUAGAAGUUAUAGUUGGAAAGCGUACCAUCGUGGAAAGGAACGGUCUACAAGACGAGCAAUUUCAUGGUGAGGAAAGAAAAGUACAAUGGAAGAACUUUAUCAAAAAUUUGUACAUUUUAAAUCAGAGUUUCAAGAGAUUCAAGCGUUUUUUAUUGGUUUGUAAAACAGAGCAUUCAUAAACCUUUUACGUGAACAAAGUUUGCUACAUGUAUGUUAUUUCAAUGUAGAGCAAUGGUUAAUUUAAAAAGACGCAAUUUACAAAACAUACUCAUCAUCACAUGAAUCACUGUAUUCACACUUGAGAUGACAUCAUAUGGAAAAAGUAUGAUAAAGAAAUAUAGGAUAUUGUAAAUGGAUAUGACCUUUUUAUCUAUAUUGACAUAUUAUCGCCUUAUCUAUCUAUUAACAAGUACACGGAGAUUGAAAUUUUGUGUUAUUCUGAAUAAAAUCCACUACAGUUGCUUUUCGCGUGUUGAAGGUGUGCCAAAGGUGCGAAAGAGGUGUUUAACAAUAGCAAUGAAAACAAUUUAUCCAUAUAUUAAGGUACAAGCCACUUAUGGAAAGGAUGCUUCGAAAUUUAAUAACAAACAACAAGCAUUACAUUGAAGAUUAGAAAUAUUGGAGGUGC